rnacentral:tRNA from 1 species
GCGGGUGUAGUUCAGUGGCAGAAUGCCAGCCUUCCCGGUUGGAGACGAAGGUUCGAUUCCUUUCCACCCGCU